UCUGCUAAUCCCUUAUGUGUCAAACUUAUGGCCCAGACAUAUUCAAAUGUACAAAUAUAAUCACUGCAAAAGGUAAAACUGAUGAUAUUUGCGUAACAACAUGCAAAGGUCAUUUUUAGAAAGGCAUUAUAUGGCAAAAGGUUAGGUUCUGAUGUUAGGCAAGAAGGCCUGGGGUGCACUCAGUAUAUACACUAUAUAGGCAAACCUUUGUGGACAUCAGAUCAUCAUACCCAAUAAUGUGGCUUCCCCAAAUGGCUGGUGUAGAAGAUUUUUAGUAGCUUGCACAGAGCCCUGACCUCAACCCCACUGAACACCUUAAAGAUGAACUGGAACUGGAUGCACUUCGUGCCCAAUAUCAGUACCAGACCUCACUAAAUCUCUUGUGGCUGAAUGAGCA